GGUUAUUGCCCAGGCGCUUGCA
rnacentral:piRNA from 1 species